UGAGGAUUUCUGGUCCUUGGGGUUAAGUCAGUGCAUGGAAUCAAAUAUUGGAAAUGCUUGCCUGAAAAUAGUAGAGGAAACGGCAAAAAGAUUUGGAAAAGACAUACACAUCUUCAAUCUGUAUGUGGUGCCCCUGUGGAAGGCAGAUGUGGAUCCUUUGUGUUCACUGCCUGACCUGACAACGAAAGACCUUGUAGUUUUCCCAGCAUGGAGCCAACAACAGGACGCU